UCCGGUUGAUCCUGCCAGACCUGACUGCUAUCGGAUUGGUACUAAGCCAUGCGAGUCAUUGUAGCAAUACAAGGCGGACGGCUCAGUAACACGUAGUCAACCUAACUCGUGGACGUGGAUAACCUCGGGAAACUGAGAAUAAACCACGAUAGAUCAUAGUGCCUGGAAUGGCUUAUGGUCCAAACAGUUUACUGCCAUGGGAUGGGACUGCGGCCUAUCAGCUUGUUGGUGAGGUAAUGGCCCACCAAGGCGAUUACAGGUACGGGCUCUGAGAGGAGAAGCCCGGAGAUGGGUACUGAGACACGGACCCAGGCCCUAUGGGGCGCAGCAGGCGAGAAACCUUAGCAAUGUGCGAAAGCACGACUGGGUCAGUCCGAGUGAUUCCUGAUAAAGGAGUCUUUUGCUUGUCCUAAAAGCACAGGUGAAUAAGGAGUGGGCAAGUCUGGUGUCAGCCGCCGCGGUAAUACCAGCACCUCGAGUGGUCAGGACGUUUAUUGGGCCUAAAGCAUCCGUAGCCGGCUUUGCAAGUCUUCGGUUAAAUCCACCUGCUCAACAGAUGGGCCGCUGGAGAUACUACAAAGCUAGGGAGUGGGAGAGGCAGACGGUAUUCAGUGGGUAGGGGCAAAAUCCUCUGAUCCAUUGAGGACCACCAGUGGCGAAGGCGGUCUGCCAGAACACGUUCGACGGUGAGGGAUGAAAGCUGGGGGAGCAAACCGGAUUAGAUACCCGGGUAGUCCCAGCUGUAAACGAUGCAAACUCGGUGAUGCAUUGGCUUAUGGCCAAUGCAGUGCCGCAGGGAAGCCGUUAAGUUUGCCGCCUGGGAAGUACGGACGCAAGUCUGAAACUUAAAGGAAUUGGCGGGGGAGCACCACAAGGGGUGAAGCCUGCGGUUCAAUUGGAUUCAACGCCGGA
rnacentral:rRNA from 1 species